CCGAGUUUACAACUCCCAAACCCCCUGUGAACAUACCACUUGUUGCCUCGGCGGAUCAGCCCGCUCCCGGUAAAACGGGACGGCCCGCCAGAGGACCCCUAAACUCUGUUUCUAUAUGUAACUUCUGAGUAAAACCAUAAAUAAAUCA
rnacentral:misc_RNA from 1 species